CGACGCAACGCGCAGAAACCUUUACCUUGGUCUUGACAUCCCGAGGAUCUUCUGGAAACAGUUUGAGUGCCUUCAACCGAAGGAGCUUUGGAGACAGGUGCUGCAUGGCUGUCGUCAGCUCGUGUCGUGAGAUGUUGGGUUAAGUCCCGCAACGAGCGCAACCCUCGCCUUUAGUUGCCAGCAUUAAGUUGGGCACUCUAGAGGGACUGCCGGUGUCAAACCGGAGGAAGGUGGGGAUGACGUCAAGUCCUCAUGGCCUUUAUGACCAGGGCUACACACGUACUACAAUGGCCGGCACAAAGGGCAGCAAGCCUGCGAAGGUAAGCUAAUCCCGAAAAACCGGUCUCAGUCCGGAUCGCAGUCUGCAACUCGACUGCGUGAAGUUGGAAUCGCUAGUAAUCGUGGAUCAGCAUGCCACGGUGAAUACGUUCCCGGGCCUU
rnacentral:rRNA from 1 species